CCUACGGGAGGCAGCAGUGAGGAAUAUUGGUCAAUGGCCGGAAGGCUGAACCAGCCAAGCCGCGUGAAGGACGAAGGUGCCAAGCAUUGUAAACUUCUUUUAUCAAGGGACAAAAUCAGGCUCGAGAGCCUGACCGAGGGUACUUGAAGAAAAAGCAUCGGCAAACUCCGUGCCAGCAGCCGCGGUAAUACGGGGGAUGCGAGCGUUAUCCGGAUUUAUUGGGUUUCAGGGGUGCGUAGGCGGACUGUUCAGUCAGCGGUAAAAGCCCGGGGCUAAACCCCGGAGAGCCGUUGAAACUGGCUGUCUUGAGAUGUCGAGAGGUAUGCGGAAUGCGCAGUGUAGCGGUGAAAUGCAUAGAUAUCACGCAGAACUCCGAUUGCGAAGGCAGCGUACCGGCGCCCAACUGACGCUGAAGCACGAAGGCGUGGGUAUCGAACAGGAUUAGAUACCCGAGUAGUC
rnacentral:rRNA from 1 species